rnacentral:rRNA from 1 species
GAUGAACGCGGCGGCGUGCCUAACACAUGCAAGUCGAACGAAGUAUAUAUAGGAAGUUUUCGGAUGGAAUAUGUAUAACUUAGUGGCGGACGGGUGAGUAACGCGUAAGUAAUCAACCUGUGACACACGGAUAACUGAUAGAAAUGUCAGCUAAUACGAGAUGAACUGUUUAGAUUGGGAAAUGGAAACAGCAAAGCGAAAGCGGUCACAGACGAGCUUGCGUCUGAUUAGCUAGUUGGUGGGGUAAGAGCCUACCAAGGCGACGAUCAGUAGCCGGCCUGAGAGGGUGAACGGCCACAUUGGAACUGAGACACGGUCCAAACUCCUACGGGAGGCAGCAGUGGGGGAUAUUGCACAAUGGGGGGAACCCUGAUGCAGCAACGCCGCGUGAGUGAAGAAGGCCCUAGGGUCGUAAAGCUCUGUCGUAUGGGAAGAAACAAAUGACUGUACC